rnacentral:tRNA from 1 species
GGGAAUGUAGCUCAGUGGUAGAGCAUUUGCCUAGCAUGCAACAGGGCCCUGGGUUUAAUCCCUAGUACCG